rnacentral:rRNA from 1 species
AUUGAACGCUGGCGGCAGGCCUAACACAUGCAAGUCGAGCGGAUGAAGGGAGCUUGCUCCUGGAUUCAGCGGCGGACGGGUGAGUAAUGCCUAGGAAUCUGCCUGGUAGUGGGGGAUAACGUCCGGAAACGGGCGCUAAUACCGCAUACGUCCUGAGGGAGAAAGUGGGGGAUCUUCGGACCUCACGCUAUCAGAUGAGCCUAGGUCGGAUUAGCUAGUUGGUGGGGUAAAGGCCUACCAAGGCGACGAUCCGUAACUGGUCUGAGAGGAUGAUCAGUCACCCUGGAACUGGGACACGGUCCAGACUACUGCGGGAGGCAGCAGUGGGGAAUAGUGGACAAUGGGCGAGAGCAUGAUCCAGCCAUGCCGCGUGUGUGAAGAAGGUCUUCGGAUUGUAAAGCACUUUAAGUUGGGAGAAAGGGCAGUAAGUUAAUACCUUGCUGUUUUGACGUUACCAACAGAAUAAGCACCGGCUAACUUCGUG